AAGCAUAUCAAUAAGCGGAGGAAAAGAAACCAACAGGGAUUGCCCCAGUAACGGCGAGUGAAGCGGCAACAGCUCAAAUUUGAAAUCUGGUCCCCAGGGCCCGAGUUGUAAUUUGCAGAGGAUGCUUUUGGUGAGGUGCCUUCCGAGUUCCCUGGAACGGGACGCCAUAGAGGGUGAGAGCCCCGUCUGGUUGGAUACCGAGCCUCUGUAAAGCUCCUUCGACGAGUCGAGUAGUUUGGGAAUGCUGCUCUAAAUGGGAGGUAUAUGUCUUCUAAAGCUAAAUAUUGGCCAGAGACCGAUAGCGCACAAGUAGAGUGAUCGAAAGAUGAAAAGCACUUUGAAAAGAGGGUUAAAUAGUACGUGAAAUUGUUGAAAGGGAAGCACUUAUGACCAGACUUGGCCCCGGUGAAUCAUCCAGCGGUCCCCGCUGGUGCACUUUGCCGGGGUUCAGGCCAGCAUCAGUUCGCUCCGGGGGAUAAAGGCUUUGGGAAUGUGGCUCCCUCGGGAGUGUUAUAGCCCAUUGCGUAAUACCUUGUGGCGGGCUGAGGUUCGCGCUUUAUGCAAGGAUGCUGGCAUAAUGGUCAUCAGUGACCCGUCUUGAAACACGGACCAAGGAGUCGUCUUCGUAUGCGAGUGUUCGGGUGUUAAACCCCUACGCGUAAUAAAAGUGAACGCAGGUGAGAGCCCUCCAGGGCGCAUCAUCGACCGAUCCUGAUGUUCUCGGAUGGAUUUGAGUAAGAGCAUACGGGGCCGGACCCGAAAGAAGGUGAACUAUGCCUGUAUAGGGUGAAGCCAGAGGAAACUCUGGUGGAGGCUCGCAGCGGUUCUGACGUGCAAAUCGAUCGUCAAAUAUGGGCAUGGGGGCGAAAGACUAAUCGAACCUUCUAGUAGCUGGUUUCCGCCGAAG
rnacentral:rRNA from 1 species